UACGUAGGGGGCAAGCGUUGUCCGGAAUCAUUGGGCGUAAAGAGCGUGUAGGCGGCUCGGUAAGUCCGCUCUGAAAGCCCGGGGCUCAACCCCGGGAGGCGGGCGGAUACUGUCGGGCUAGAGUCCGGAAGAGGCGAGUGGAAUUCCUGGUGUAGCGGUGAAAUGCGCAGAUAUCAGGAGGAACACCGGUGGCGAAGGCGGCAUCCUGGACCGGUAUUGACGCUGAGGCGCGAAAGCUAGGGGAGCAAACGGG
rnacentral:rRNA from 1 species